rnacentral:tRNA from 1 species
GGGCAUCGAAUCAUGUUCGGUGAAGACAUUGAGCCAUCAGGGAACUCAUAAUCCCUUGGUCGCUGGUUCGAGUCCAGCUGGGCCCACCA